rnacentral:rRNA from 1 species
AUCGAACGCUGGCGGCGUGGCUAAGGCAUGCAAGCCGAGCGGACUUGGCUGAGGGGUAACCCAAGGCCUAGUUAGCGGCGAACGGGUGAGGAAUACGUGGACAACGUGCCCUGAACACGGGAAUAGCGGCGGGGGGCAGCCCCCUUUGCGAAAGCGCCGGUAAUACCCGAUGACCCCACGAAAUCGCAUGGUUUUGUGGGCAAAUGCUCCGGCGGUUUGGGAUCGGUUCACGUCCUAUCAGCUAGUUGGUGAGGUAACGGCUCACCAAGGCGACGACGGGUAGCGGGCGUGAGAGCGUGACCCGCCACAUCGGGACUGAGACACGGCCCGGACACCUACGGGUGGCUGCAGCAACGAAUAUUCCGCAAUGGACGCAAGUCUGACGGAGCGACGCCGCGUGUAGGAUGAAGUCCUUCGGGAUGUAAACUACUGUCAGGGGUGAGGAAACAAAUGACCAGCCCCAGAGGAAGCACCGGCUAACUCCGUGCCAGCAGCCGCGG